GAAUCAUCGAAUCUUUGAACGCACCUUGCGCUCCUUGGUAUUCCUCGGAGCACGCCAGUUUGAGUAUC
rnacentral:rRNA from 1 species